rnacentral:lncRNA from 1 species
GGAGAGGAUACAAAGGAGGAGGAGGAAGAAGUAAAGUGGAGCAGAAGCACAUGGUGCGGGUGCACACGUGGGAAGCUCAUUCCCCAAGCCGUCUCCCAGGCCAGCCUGGACUCCCCAGGGUGUCUGCUCCAAGUACGAAUGUGUAGACUGAGCUGGUCAGACCAGCGCCUGGAGUCGUCGGAGCCGCUGUCGGUACACCAUGUGGCGGUGGCCCUGCAGGAGGCUGCCCGCGGCCUGUGGCUGGUGCUGCUGGGCUGGCUGGACGUGUCCUUGGGGUCCUGGCUGACACUGGGCUCUUCUGUUUCAGAGUCACUGCUGUCUUCAUCUUGGGCUUGCUGCCCUGGUUCCCUACCGCCUUCAAACAUCUCUCAAAGGAGGGAUCCCCAGGGAAAAGUGUGAGCAAGUGGAACCGAAUGCUGCCGAGGGACAGCUUUGAUCUGCAGUGAGCCAGGCUGCCCUUCAGUCUCAUCUCCAGUACACAGUCCUUCUCCAUGGACUUUCCCCUUUUGCAAACUGGCCACAGUAUGCAUGCAUGCGGAAGAUGGCACUCGCUGUCUCAACGCUCUGAGUCCUACCCUCCUUCCACCCCACUAAUCUCAUCUGCUUUAGUCAUUCACUAAAGAAAGGUGACUCAUUUCAGGGGACUCCAUCAUCCAAUGCCUUGGAUAAAGCAGGUGACCUCCAACAGUUACUGAUUCAAAUUUUCUGAAUUUUACGUUCUUCCUACCAACACUUCGGAUAACCUCUUCUGAAGCUACAGCUGCGCCUGUGGGGAUUUACAUCAAUCACAGUGCAAGCAUUAAAGCGUGCUGUCUA